rnacentral:rRNA from 1 species
CAAUAGCGUAUAUUAAAGUUGUUGCAGUUAGAACGCUCGUAGUCGGAUUUCGGGGCGUUCCGACCGGUCUGCCGAUGGGUAUGCACUGGCCGGAGUGUCCUUUUUGCCGGAGACCGUGCCUACUCUUAACUGAGCGGGGGCGGGAGACGGCACUUUUACUUUGAAAAAAUCAGAGUGUUUCAAGCAGGCAGCUCGCUCUUGCAUGGAUUAGCGUGGGAUAAUGAAAUAGGACUUUGGUGCUAUUUUGUUGGUUUCGAACACCGAAGUAAUGAUGAGAAGGGACAGUCAGGGGCACUCGUAUUCCGCAGAGAGAGGUGAAAUUCUCAGACCCGCGGAAGACGAACCACUGCGAAAGCAUUUGCCAGGGAUGUUUUCACUGA